GGGGUGCCACCAUCAGGUGGCCGCAGAGAAUAGGCCCAAGCGACUGUUUACCAAAAACAUAGGUUUCUGCUAAGUCGCAAGACGAUGUAUAGGAGCUGACGCCUGCCCGGUGCUGGAAGGUUAAGGGGAUCUGUUAGAGCAAUCGAAGCAGUGAACUUAAGCCCCAGUAAACGGCGGCCGUAACUAUAACGGUCCUAAGGUAGCGAAAUUCCUUGUCGGGUAAGUUCCGACCCGCACGAAAGGCGUAACGAUUUGGGCACUGUCUCAACAACAGACUCGGUGAAAUUGUAAUUCCGGUGAAGAUGCCGGAUACCUGCGACAGGACGGAAAGACCCCAUGGAGCUUUACUGUAGCUUGACAUUGGGUCUUGGUACUACAUGUACAGGAUAGGUGGGAGGCUUUGAAACCAGGACGCCAGUUUUGGCGGAGCCAUCCUUGGGAUACCACCCUUGUAGUACUGGGACUCUAACCAUAGGCCAUGAAUCUGGUCUUGGGACACU
rnacentral:rRNA from 1 species